AGUGAACGCUGGCGCUAGGCCUAACACAUGCAAGUCGAACGGCAGCACAGUAAGAGCUUGCUCUUACGGGUGGCGAGUGGCGGACGGGUGAGGAAUACAUCGGAAUCUACUUUUUCGUGGGGGAUAACGUAGGGAAACUUACGCUAAUACCGCAUACGACCUACGGGUGAAAGCAGGGGAUCUUCGGACCUUGCGCGAUUGAAUGAGUCGAUGUCGGAUUAGCUAGUUGGCGGGGUAAAGGCCCACCAAGGCGACGAUCCGUAGCUGGUCUGAGAGGAUGAUCAGCCACACUGGAACUGAGACACGGUCCAGACUCCUACGGGAGGCAGCAGUGGGGAAUAUUGGACAAUGGGCGCAAGCCUGAUCCAGCCAUACCGCGUGGGUGAAGAAGGCCUUCGGGUUGUAAAGCCCUUUUGUUGGGAAAGAAAAGCAGCAGGUUAAUACCCCGCUGUUCUGACGGUACCCAAAGAAUAAGCACCGGCUAACUUCGUG
rnacentral:rRNA from 1 species